AGGCUUAACACAUGCAAGUCGAGGGGCAGCAUGGUCUUAGCUUGCUAAGGCUGAUGGCGACCGGCGCACGGGUGAGUAACACGUAUCCAACCUGCCGUCUACUCUUGGCCAGCCUUCUGAAAGGAAGAUUAAUCCAGGAUGGGAUCAUGAGUUCACAUGUCCGCAUGAUUAAAGGUAUUUUCCGGUAGACGAUGGGGAUGCGUUCCAUUAGAUAGUAGGCGGGGUAACGGCCCACCUAGUCAACGAUGGAUAGGGGUUCUGAGAGGAAGGUCCCCCACAUUGGAACUGAGACACGGUCCAAACUCCUACGGGAGGCAGCAGUGAGGAAUAUUGGUCAAUGGGCGAUGGCCUGAACCAGCCAAGUAGCGUGAAGGAUGACUGCCCUAUGGGUUGUAAACUUCUUUUAUAAAGGAAUAAAGUCGGGUAUGCAUACCCGUUUGCAUGUACUUUAUGAAUAAGGAUCGGCUAACUCCGUGCCAGCAGCCGCGGUAAUACGGAGGAUCCGAGCGUUAUCCGGAUUUAUUGGGUUUAAAGGGAGCGUAGAUGGAUGUUUAAGUCAGUUGUGAAAGUUUGCGGCUCAACCGUAAAAUUGCAGUUGAUACUGGAUGUCUUGAGUGCAGUUGAGGCAGGCGGAAUUCGUGGUGUAGCGGUGAAAUGCUUAGAUAUCACGAAGAACUCCGAUUGCGAAGGCAGCCUGCUAAGCUGCAACUGACAUUGAGGCUCGAAAGUGUGGGUAUCA
rnacentral:rRNA from 1 species